UACGUAGGGGGCAAGCGUUGUCCGGAUUUAUUGGGCGUAAAGCGCGUGUAGGCGGCCAUACAGGUCAGCUGUGAAAACUCGAGGCUCAACCUCGAGACGUCGGUUGAAACCGUAUGGCUAGAGUCCGGAAGAGGAGAGUGGAAUUCCCGGUGUAGCGGUGAAAUGCGCAGAUAUCGGGAAGAACACCUAUGGCGAAGGCAGCUCUCUGGGACGGUACUGACGCUGAGACGCGAAAGCGUGGGUAGCAAACAGG
rnacentral:rRNA from 1 species